AAUAUGUGACUAGGGGGGCAACCCUGAUCCAGCCAUGCCGCGUGUGUGAAGAAGGNCUNNGGAUUNUNAAUCACUUUAAGUAGNNNNNAAGGGCUUUAGGCUAAUACCCUGAAGUUUUGACAUCACCACCAGAAUAAGUACCGGCUAACUGUGACCUUGCAGCCGCGGUAAUACAGAGGGUGCAUGCGUUAAUCGGAAUUACUGGGCGUAAAGCGCGAGUAGGUGGUUCAGUAAGAUGGGUGUGAAAUCCCCGGGCUUAACCCGGGAACUGCUUUCAUAACUGCUGAGCUAGAGUACGGUAGAGGGUAGUGGAAUUUCCUGUGUAGCGGUGAAAUGCGUAGAUAUAGGAAGGAACACCAGUGGCGAAGGCGACUACCUGGACUGAUACUGACACUGAGGUGCGAAAGCGUGGGGAGCAAAC
rnacentral:rRNA from 1 species